UGGGCAACCUGCCCUCAGCUCUGGGAUAACUCCAAGAAAUUGGGGCUAAUACCGGAUGCGACCGCUGACCGCAUGGUCUGGUGGUGGAAAGAUUUAUUGGCUGGGGAUGGGCCCGCGGCCUAUCAGCUUGUUGGUGAGGUAACGGCUCACCAAGGCAACGAUGCGUAGCCGACCUGAGAGGGUGAUCGGCCACAUUGGAACUGAGACACGGUCCAGACUCCGUAGGAG
rnacentral:rRNA from 1 species